UUGUCCUGGCCUUUGCUAUCUCAGCUCCCCUAUCCUCGGCUGAACAGGGGAGUCUGGCAGGACGCAGAGCAAUCUCCCUCUCAGUUUAGGGGGCCAUCUUGAGUAAAGGGCUGGCUCUUAAAGGCACAAGAGGACAAU